rnacentral:rRNA from 1 species
CGGGGUGCAGCAGGCGCGAAACCUUUUCAUGCGCGAAAGCGUGAGAAGGGAAUUCCGAGUGCUAAAGCAUUGCUUGGGCUUUUGCUAAGUGUAAAAAGCUUGGCGAAUAAGGGGUGGGCAAGACUGGUGCCAGCCGCCGCGGUAACACCAGCGCCUCGAGUGGGGAUCGCGAUUAUUGGGCCUAAAGCGUCCGUAGCAGGCCAUGUAAAUCCUUUGUGAAAUCGGCAGGCUUAACCUGCCGGCGCGCAGAGGACACUGCAAGGCUCGAGACCGGGAGAGGUCAGAAGUAUUCCUUGGGUACCGGUAAAAUGGGUUAAUCCAAGGAGGACUACCAAUGGCGAAGGCAUCUGACCAGCACGGUUCUGACUGUGAGGGACGAAAGCUAGGGGAGCAGAACGGAUUAGAUACCCGAGUAGUCCUAGCCGUAAACGCUGCGAGCAAGGUAUUGCGCCUCCCACGAGGAUGCGCAGUGUCGAAACGAAGGUGUUAAGCUCGCCGCCUGGGAAGUACGGUCGCAAGGCUGAAACUUUAAGGAAUUGGCGGGGGAGCAC